rnacentral:tRNA from 1 species
GACAGCAUGGUGUAGUGGUUUAAGCAUUAGAGUAUGACUCUGGAGACCAGGGUUCAAUUCCCAGCUUGGCCA